rnacentral:rRNA from 1 species
CACGUAGGGGACGAGCGUUGUCCGGAUUCAUUGGACGUAAAGCGCGCGUAGGCGGCUCGGAAAGUCGGUCGUGAAAUGCCGGGGCUCAACCCCGGGACUGCGUCCGAUACUUCCGGGCUGGAGGUAGGUAGGGGAGAUCGGAAUUCCUGGUGUAGCGGUGAAAUGCGCAGAUAUCAGGAAGAACACCAAUGGCGAAGGCAGCUCUCUGGGACGGUACUGACGCUGAGACGCGAAAGCGUGGGGAGCGAACAGG